rnacentral:rRNA from 1 species
UACAGAGGUCUCAAGCGUUGUUCGGAUUCAUUGGGCGUAAAGGGUGCGUAGGCGGCGCGGUAAGUCGGGUGUGAAAUCUCGGAGCUUAACUCCGAAACUGCAUUCGAUACUGCCGUGCUUGAGGACUGGAGAGGAGACUGGAAUUUACGGUGUAGCGGUGAAAUGCGUAGAGAUCGGGGGGAACACCCGUGGCGAAGGCGGCCGGCUGGGCCGUUCCUGACGCUGAGGCGCGAAGGCGUGGGGAGCGAACGGG